UACGGGGGGGGCGAGCGUUGUUCGGAAUUACUGGGCGUAAAGGGUUUGUAGGUGGUCUGCUAAGUCAGACGUGAAAUCCCUCAGCUUAACUGGGGAACUGCGUCUGAUACUGGCGGACUUGAGGACAGGAGAGGAACGCGGAAUUCCAGGUGUAGCGGUGAAAUGCGUAGAUAUCUGGAGGAACACCGGUGGCGAAGGCGGCGUUCUGGACUGCUUCUGACACUGAAAAACGAAAGCCAGGGGAGCAAACGGG
rnacentral:rRNA from 1 species